UACGUAGGGUGCAAGCGUUAAUCGGAAUUACUGGGCGUAAAGCGUGCGCAGGCGGUUCUAUAAGACAGAUGUGAAAUCCCCGGGCUCAACCUGGGAACUGCAUUUGUGACUGUAGAGCUGGAGUACGGCAGAGGGGGAUGGAAUUCCGCGUGUAGCGGUGAAAUGCGUAGAUAUCGGGAGGAACACCUGUGGCGAAAGCGGCGCACUGGACCACAACUGACGCUGAGGCGCGAAAGCUAGGGGAGCAAACAGG
rnacentral:rRNA from 1 species